rnacentral:rRNA from 1 species
UAAGCAUAUCAAUAAGCGGAGGAAAAGAAACCAACAGGGAUUGCCCUAGUAACGGCGAGUGAAGCGGCAAAAGCUCAGAUUUGAAAUCUCUUUAUUCUUAUAAAGCGAAUUGUAAUCUGUAGAAGGUUGAAUGAUUUUUUAUUUUUAAAUUAAAUUCUUUGGAAUAAGAUAUCAUAGAGGGUGAGAAUCCCGUGAUUAUUUAAAAAAAUUAAAUCAAUUAAUUCACCUUUCGACGAGUCGAGUUGUUUGGGAAUGCAGCUCUAAAUGGGUGGUAAAUUUCAUCUAAAGCUAAAUACCUGCCAAAGACCGAUAGCGAACAAGUAGAGUGAUCGAAAGAUGAAAAGCACUUUGAAAAGAGAGUUAAAAAGUACGUGAAAUUGUUGAAAGGGAAGCGCUUGCUAUUAGACUUGAUAAAUUAAAUUCAAUUAAUUCACGAAUUCAAUUUAUUUUUAUUUUAUCAGGCCAGCAUCAGUUUAAUAAAAUUUAUAAAAUUAAAUGUAAUGUAGGAAUUAUUUCGGUAAUUCUGUUAUAGACAUUUAAAUAAUAAAUUUAUUUUAGACUGAGGUCUGCUCUUCGGAAAGGAUGCUGGCAUAAUGAUAGCAAGCGACCCGUCUUGAA